AAAAGUCCAAAGUUAAAGAAUUGGAAGUAGUACAAAAGUUUAAACAGUCUGAUUCAACAACAACAAUAUGUCGCGCAAUUUGGGGCAUUCGUAUUUCAUAGUCAGAGGUGAAAUUCUUGGAUUUAUGAAAGACAGGCAAGUGCGAAAGCAUUUGCCAAGGAUGUUUUCAUUAAUCAAGAACGAAAGUUGGGGGCUCGAUAAUGAUGUAAGAACAAUUUUGUCCGAUAAAAAAAAU
rnacentral:ncRNA from 1 species